UACACUCCUGCGGGAGGCAGCAGUGGGGAAUAUUGCACAAUGGGCGCAAGCCUGAUGCAGCCAUGCCGCGUGUAUGAAGAAGGCCUUCGGGUUGUAAAGUACUUUCAGCGGGGAGGAAGGCGAUAAGGUUAAUAACCUUGUUGAUUGACGUUACCCGCAGAAGAAGCACCGGCUAACUCCGUGCCAGCAGCCGCGGUAAUACGGAGGGUGCAAGCGUUAAGCGGAAUUACUGGGCGUAAAGCGCACGCAGGCGGUCUGUCAAGUCGGAUGUGAAAUCCCCGGGCUCAACCUGGGAACUGCAUUCGAAACUGGCAGGCUAGAGUCUUGUAGAGGGGGGUAGAAUUCCAGGUGUAGCGGUGAAAUGCGUAGAGAUCUGGAGGAAUACCGGUGGCGAAGGCGGCCCCCUGGCCAAAGACUGACGCUCAGGUGCGAAAGCGUGGGGAGCAAACAGGAUUAGAAACCCCGGUAGUCCCAUGA
rnacentral:rRNA from 1 species